rnacentral:rRNA from 1 species
AGAGUUUGAUCAUGGCUCAGAGCGAACGCUGGCGGCAGGCCUAACACAUGCAAGUCGAACGGAUCCUUUGGGAUUAGUGGCGGACGGGUGAGUAACACGUGGGAACGUGCCUUUUGGUUCGGAACAACUCAGGGAAACUUGAGCUAAUACCGGAUAAGCCUUUCGAGGGAAAGAUUUAUCGCCAUUAGAGCGGCACGCGUAGGAUUAGCUAGUUGGUGGGGUAAAGGCCCACCAAGGCUACGAUCCUUAGCUGGUCUGAGAGGAUGAUCAGCCACAUUGGGACUGAGACACGGCCCAAACUCCUACGGGAGGCAGCAUUGGGGAAUCUUGCGCAAUGGGCGAAAGCCUGACGCAGCCAUGCCGCGUGAAUGAUGAAGGUCUUAGGAUUGUAAAAUUCUUUCACCGAGGACGAUAAUGACGGUACUCGGAGAAGAAGCCCCGGCUAACUUCGUGCCAGCCGCCGCGGUAAUAC